rnacentral:lncRNA from 1 species
CAGGAAACAGAUGAAAAAGAUAACACCAAAAGGUUCUUAUUUCAUUAUUCGAAGACUCGAAAGUUGGGCAAUUCAAAUGUUGUGGAAGAAUUCCAAGGUCCUAUUGCAAGCCAAAGUAGAAGAUACUUUUUAUUCAGGCCACGCAAUGGAAGAAGAUCAGAAGGUUACAUUUAAAAUGAACACCAGCUAUAUUCUGCAGAAUCAACGCUAUGGGAUAUAAAAUGUACUGAAUUUUUUCUUUUCUUCUGAAAAACAAUCCUUGCUAAGUUUAACAAGUUUGAGAAUCCCUGUGUUGUAAACAUUCUUAGUAAAAGUUUAACUGAGAUUGUAAAUGUUUAAUUUAUUGAAAAUUAAAGAAGCAUCUUAAAAUAUUUUUUCUUAGUGUUUAAUGAUAAAUCGUGUAUAAUAAAGCUGUAAAU